rnacentral:rRNA from 1 species
UACAGAGGCCUCGAGCGUUAGGCGGAAUCACUGGGCUUAAAGCGUGUGUAGGCGGACUUCUAAGUACCUUGUGAAAUCCCACGGCUCACCCGUGGAACUGCUCGGUAUACUGGUCGUCUUGAGCCUUCUAGGGGCGAGUGGAACAAAUGGUGGAGCGGUGAAAUGCGUAGAUAUCAUUUGGAACGCCAAUGGUGAAAACAACUCGCUGGGAAAGUGCUGACGCUGAGACACGAAAGCCAGGGGAGCGAACGGG